AAGUGGAAGUUGAGAGUGAGAAGAAGCAUUACAGGGGAGUUAGGCAGAGGCCUUGGGGAAAGUUUGCAGCGGAGAUUCGUGACCCAAAUAGAAAGGGGACUCGGGUUUGGUUAGGAACCUUCGACACUGCGGUGGAUGCGGCCAAGGCAUAUGACAGGGCGGCGUUUAAGCUUAGAGGCAGCAAAGCAAUAUUGAAUUUCCCACUUGAAGUUGCUAACUUUAAGCAACAAAAUCAUGAUGAUGAGAUUAAAACAUCAGGGAAUAAAAGGGUGAGAGAAACAGAGCAAUUAGUUAUCAACAAGGAAAGGAAAAUAGAAGAAGAAGAAAGAAUAGUCCCAACAGCGGCAGCUCCAUUAACACCGUCAAGUUGGUCGACGAUUUGGGAUGAAAAAGGUAUCUUUGAGGUGCCGCCACUGUCACCAUUGUCUCAUCUUGUAAUGAUAUAAUUUGGGAUUAUUAGUAUUUGAUGAAUAUGCACCUGACUAUAAACUAAGUCUGAGGUGAAUUAGGAUUAGAAUGAUGUGUCUUUGGAUCUUCAAUAUUUAGUAAUUUCAUUGAUUAAGCGUUAUUUAAUGUAAAUAUGCAAUCAAUCUAAAAUUUGUUCAUUUUAUAAUAUGGAAAUUUUAAAGCAUAGACAUUUAUAUGAAGCAGCUUGUCUCUUGCACCAAUUUUAUUAAAACUAUUUUGUGGACUUGUAAGGGAUUAAGUCCAAGUGGAAGGCUUUCCCAUAAUUCUAUCUCCAACACAAAUCCCAAAUUUUAUACCAAAAAAAAAUAUUUUUUUCUCUCUUCAUUAUUAUAUUAUUAUUUCUUAUUUCAUUUGCAUUUUUUUAUUUCAUAAAACAAAUUCUUUCUAAAACAUUCACCAUAUAUAAUUUAUAUUAUUUUCUUUUAUAAUCGUUAUAUUUAAAAUUAUUUUGUACCAUAAUUUUUUAAAUAAAUAUAAAUUGCUAGCAAAUAUUAUACAUUAUACAUAAUAAUGGAUAAUACAAAUAAAAGUGAAAUCAUUAAUGAAAUACAAUUAAAUAAACAUUACAUAAUUAAAAAAAAAAAUUAAAAUCUACAUAAAUAUUCAACUUUCAAGAUCACUACGAUGCUCCCAUAAAUGCUCUAUUAAUGCAUUAGGUAGUUCAAAAUGAGCAAUGUUUGCAAUUUUAAUUUUUGUGAAGGUUAAUUGUAGUUAUCUCCAAUUAUAAUUUAUAGUUGAAUUAACAUAAAUUUAAUUUUUUUUUAAAAGUCAUAUAUAGAAAAAUUAUUUUAUAAAAAAGCUGAAUUUUAUAUCUAAAAUUAAUAUUAUAAAAAUAUUACAUAAAAAAUAAUUAAAUAUACAAGAGAUUUAAUUAAAACAUACAAUUAUAUAUUUAAUUAAAAGCUUGUAUAAUGAAAUAAUAUUAAAUUAUUGAAAAAGUGAAUAAGUGUGAUGAAUAGUGUUACAUCAAAUUUGGUGUAAAAAUUGGUGUGGGUUGGAGCUCAAAACAUCAAAUUUUACACUAAAUUCUAAAUUUGGUGUAAAAUUUGGUGUUGGGUUGGAGAUGGUCUUAAGGCAUAGUAACAGUAAAAACUGUUAAGAAGUCCCACAUCGAUAGAGGGAUAAGAAUUUGGUCUUCUUAUAUAGACUUGGACAAACCUUCUCUCAUAAGCUAGUUUUUUAUGUUGAGUUAGACCCAUGUGUCAUAUCAUUACAUGGUAUCAAAGCCAAACACAUCCCAAUUUGUUGUUCACCGAUGUUGGGCCUCCGUUCACCGAUGUUGGGCCUCCAUUUAGAAGUGUUCACGUUCAAGUUGAGGUUUGGCCGUGUAGGGGAGUGUUAAGAAGUCUCACCUCGAUAGAGAGAUGAAAAUUUGGUCUCCUUAUAUAGACUUGUACUCAUGAGCUAACUCUUGGAGUUGAGUUAGGCACAUGUGCAUAUCUUUACAAAAACAGCGCAUGGAAUUGUAAGGAGAUCGGCGUGCUGAGCCUUUGACGGAACAUAUAAGAGAGAUAAGGUAUCACGCUCGAAGCAUAUAUCCUGCACAUUGCCUGCACUCAGAAUCAUUAUUGAUCCAAGUAAAUUCUUGGUCUGGCUUACUAUUAUAUUGAGAGCUAUAAUUAUGUGAAAGUUUUUCAAAGAUGAGCAUGUAAUAAAUUGAUAGUUAAAAAUUAAGAUCUUUAUAAUAUGAAUAUGUUUCUAAAAUAAUGGUGAAAAUUAUAAUUCAAUUGAUCAGUCUAUGAAGCCUCUAACAUAUUGAAGAUAAAUUAUUGGGAGAAGAUCCCAGACCUAAAUACUCCAUUAAUAAUAUAUAUGAACAACAAAUAUGCUAGAUAAACUGGAGCCAUGCGAAAGUAAAAAGGUCUCACCAAAAUUGGAUGAAAGUAAUCCUAGUAAUGCUUCUGAUGCGUGAAUAUCUAAAUCUGCAUCAUAAUAUAAUGCUUCGCCAAAUGACAUUAAUAAAUAAAAUGUACGGUAUGUAAAAUAAUUGAAUGUAACAAUAGGCUAAAACUGAACAUAUUGAGUUGAAUGAAUAAUUGUGAAGAUAGACUGAAAUAAAGUCAAAUUGAUAGUAAUGCAUGUAUGUGUACAUUAACAACAAAACUUUAUUACUGAAAAUAUGCAUCAACAAUAUACUGAAAAUAAUAUAACUUUAUUUUUCUUGAAAAAAAAUUCUAACCUACAACCAUCACGUGAAUUUCAUGAUGAUACAACAUUUUACCUAUAUUGUCAAAAGCAUCCUAUACCUUGUCAAGAUGAAAGAUAAACUUAACUAAUAAAUCUAAUUUCUAAGCCCUCUGUAGAACUUCUUGAAAAGUCGCCUGAAUCAACGACACGCCUAUCCUAUGUUGAUGACACAUGUGAACCCUUAUCCACUCGAUACUCAAUAUCAAGUCCUUUUCCCUAAUUCUAUAAUAACAAAUGUUGUCUAAUUCAAUUGAAUUUGUCCGAUUAUGUAUACUACUAAUUACUGGUAAAGGACAAAAAGGCAACAACCUGGAUAAUUCCCUAUAGUUGAUUAAAGGAAAAAACCUUUUGCAAGUUGAAUGAAUAUGGUUGAUUGCCUUAUUGGAGUUGACGUUGACUGCAAGUAAAGGUAGAAAAUGGGUGGGUUGACUGAAUUGCUAGGAUCGGAAUGAGUUGAAUUAAUAAAUAGAUGUAUUAUUGAUUCGUUUAAAAAUUAUUUGAGUGAAAUAAAUUAAAAUAUGAGUCAUAAUUCAGCCUGUUCGACUCUGACUAAGUUUAAUAGUUUUUUUUUUUGUUCUUUUAUCUUUUUAGCAUCUUAUUAAAUUAUUAUUUUUUUGUAUUAUGAUUAUAUGUAACAUAUCAAAUAAAAUAAAAUAUUUUGUCAUUUUUUUAUUAAUUUAGAUUAGAUAUCAGUCCAAAUCUCGAUGGACUGAAAUAGAUUGGACUGAGCUAAUAUAUAAAUGUUUCUUACGUACUGUACAACUAAAGAAAUCAACAAAAACGGUCAUAUGUAUAUGCAAUGGAUCGAUAUUAUAUAAAUAGUAUAUAAUCAUGUAUAUAUGAUGUAUAUUUAUAUGUCAGAAAUGUAUAUACUUCCAUAUAUGUUGUUGAUACAAUAUUUAUAAAUUUACAGGCUACUUUUUUUCAAUUCGGACCAAAUCAAAUCUCCUCUAAACAUCUCAAAAUUUACAUAGGAACAUCUCUCGAUAUUUUUGAGCCUUUUGAUAUAUUAUUCACUUGAAACGAUUCAUGUUUGUGACACAUCAAAUUUUAAAAUCAAACUUUAAAGAAGCUUUAAUGGUUGAACAUUGAGUCUCUUAAUCCAAACCAACUCAAAACCUCCUCUAAAAUGUUCAAAAUUUUAAAUAUGAGCUCAAGGAAGGAGGAGAAUGGAAUGAGUAAAUAUCUCAAAAGGUCACUCAACUGUGAGAAAUUGGGUAACAAAGUCAUUCAACUUUAACUUGUUUCAAUAAAAUCACUCAACUUAAAGAUUUCCUCUUAUAAUAUCACUCAAUCAAAUUUAUCACUAUAAAAUAUGAGUAAAAAAUUAAAUUAUUUGCUUAUGCCAUGUAGACAUGAACUCUAUAUAAAAUAAAAUUUAAAGACCCAAUAAAAUUCUCUAUUUCUUUCUUUUAAUUUCUUUUUCCAAGAAACUAACAUGCACUGUUUCUAAUUCUUUAGUAUCAUAACUUUAAAUUCAAUUAUGUAUGACCAUUGUUAGUUAAAUCUUUCCUCUUUUCCUAGGAACUUUUUAACAAAUGGAAAAAAAUUACGGUGCCUAGACCCAACAUAUGUUACGAUCAAAUUAUUAUUUAACUAUUUUUUUUACGUUGAUUAAGUAGUGUUUAUUUGAUUCAUCCAACUUGACUUAGCUGAAAAAUAAGACACUUCGAUUAAGAUAUGAGAUUGAUCUGUUGAAACAUAAAUUUAAAGAAAAUUAGAGAAGAAGCGUAGAGUGGGGAAUACGGGUUUUAGAUAAAAUUAUGUUGAUUUGUGGUGGGUUGGAUGGGUGGGUCGUACAUAAAAUAUGGGUCUUUUAAAUUGAGUGAUUUUAUUGAAACAAAUCAAAGUUAAAUGACUUUGUUAUACAAUUCUUCAUAGUUGAGUAAACUUUUGAGAUAUUUACUCGGGAUGGAAUGAAGAAGAAGAAAAGAAAGGCAACCAAAAUUGUACUUUGUUGGCCAUGAAUAGAGCCAAAUGAUAAUUUUUGAGUUAUUAAUGAUAAUUGAGUCAUUUCGGAUAAGAAAUUUUAAUUUGAAAAGUAUUUCGUUUAAUUUAUCAAUAAUAAUUGGUUGACUUAAACUGUAUAUAUAAGAUGAAUUAUAAUUUUAUGGACUAAUUUUAUCACAGCAAAAAUGAUGGUUACGUUACCGUUAUUAUUAUUUAUAUUAUCUCCUACAUUAUAUUUUGUAAGCGUUAAUGCCGUUGAAAAGUAGGUUUCGAAAGGAGCAAUAAAGUCAAGUGAUGGGGCCCUUUUUGCCUUUGGUCAAUUCACGUGUUAUGUUUUAUGUUUAAUUGCGGCUUUCCUGCUCUUAUAUGCGUCAUUUUAAUGACUUAAAAUUAUGUGCAAUGAUAAUUUAUAAUAUAUUCUUACAAAUGAAUUAUUUUCAUUUUAAAAAAAUAAUAUUUCGUAUCAUUGAUUGCUAACAUGUAAUGAAUAGUAAAUAAUUUGUCAUGAGAUAAUUAUUAUAUUAGCGAUAAAUUAAUCCUUAUUUAAAUAGUUAUGUAUGAAUGUUUUUAAAAUGUUUUAGAUCUAUGCAUUCUGAUAUAAUAAAAAAAAACAUACGUUACUUAAAAUUAAUUACAAGUAAGGAAACAAAAAGACCAAAAUAGCACAUUUCAGCACUUUGUUUCAAGCAGUAAUCUUUAAAUAUAUUUCAAUACUUCCUCCGUUCUAAAAUAGUUAUCUUAUUUCACUCAUUGAAAAUGAAAAUCAAUUUAGCUAAUUUUUAUACUCCCGAUAAACAACCCCUUAUUUUAUUAUUUUAGUGAAGCAAUAAACUAUGAGAGGGACUAGGAUUUUGGAUUAAAGCGCAGGAUGCUUCGUUUCUCCACCUGAGAAGGCUCGUAUGAAACCUCAUCUCUUCAUUUCUUCUCUUUAUAACUCAUCCUCCACACACUCUCUUUUCCACUCAAUUUUCUCUUCAACUUUGAAUUUAAACAUAUAUAUAGUUGACACUAGUUACUUUCUCCAACUGAAAUUAUUUUCUUUGUUUGAUUAGUUGAAUGACACUAGUUACUUUCUCCAACUGAAAUUAUUUUCUUUGUUUGAUUAGAAGAAGAAAAAUGGGUUCAUCACCACAAGGAACUUGUAGCUCACUUGAUUCCAUUAGGGAACAUCUUCUUGAUGAUGAUGUUGCUUUCAUGGAAUAUUACUGCUCUAACACUUGUUUCUCUUUUGAAACUACUCAAACCUCGAAAACAGAGUUUGAUGGUUUUUUCGAAAUUGAGGCAAAACCACAUGUUAUCAGCUCAAAUUCUCCGAAGCAGAGUAACUUCAAAGAACGCAAGCCAUCUCUGAACGUUGCAAUACCCGCGAAGGCUGUUGUUGUAGAGAAAGUGGAAGUUGAGAGUGAGAAGAAGCAUUACAGGGGAGUUAGACGAAGGCCAUGGGGGAAGUUUGCGGCGGAGAUUCGUGACCCGAAUAGAAAGGGGACUCGGGUUUGGUUAGGAACAUUUGAUACUGCUGUGGAUGCGGCAAAGGCAUAUGACAGGGCAGCGUUUAAGCUUAGAGGCAGCAAAGCAAUAUUGAAUUUCCCACUUGAAGUUGCAAACUUUAAGCAACUCCAAAAUGAUGAUGAUGAUGAUGUUGAGAUUCCACAGCCGGUGAACUCAUCAGGCAAUAAUAAAAGGGUGAGAGAAACAGAGCAAUUAGUUAUCAACAAGGAAAGAAAAAUAGAAGAAGAAAGAGUCAUUCCGAUGGCACCUCCAUUAACACCAUCAAAUUGGUCGACGAUUUGGGAUGGAAAAGGUAUUUUUGAGGUGCCACCAUUGUCACCAUUGUCUCAGCUUGUAAUGAUAUAAUUUGGGAUUAUAAGUAUUUGAUGAAUAUGCACCUGACUAUAAACUAAGUCUGAGGUGAAUUAGGAUUAGUUUUAUGAGUGUUUGGAUCUUCAAUCGUCAUUUAAUGUAAAUGCGCAAUCAAUCUAAAUUUGUUCAAUUCAUAUAUAUAUAUACAUUCAUUUUUAUAAUAUUCCAUGAAAAUAUUAAAGCGUAAAGUUUGUUGUGUACUCUUGAGAUUGUCAAUAUCAUUAGUUUCUAUCGAAUCAAGUUCUUGGUAGGCCUCAAUAAGAAACUAGUUGUGUUUAUGAUUGACAAUCCACUACAGAAGAACCGAGUCUUUAACUGAUUUACACAAAUUUUAUGCACGUAAUGAAAGAACUAGGUCCUUCGCAAAUGAAUGGAGCUGAUAGUUCAUUAGACGCGACAAAGCAAAUUCCAAUUGCAUAUAUGCAAUGUGUGGAUUAAAAAACAACAACUCGACAUGAAAAUAUUGUCAUAUUUGCAAAAAGGAAAGAGCUUUAGGAGAAAAUGAAUGAACGUUGAAACAAAUAAGGGAACCAAGUCCAAAUAGGAUUGAAUUUCUUAAUCAAGUUUCGAUGAGUUUUGGAGCAAGAAGACAAGAAAAAAUUGGCUAUCACUAUUCCUGCACAAUACACCACAUUGAUGUUAUUAUGUUGGAUGCUAUUUGCGCAGUUACAAAAUUUAUUUUUGAUAAUAAACAUUCAUUGUGAGAUUCAGUUGAUUUUUAAAAGAACAUGUUCUUAAGGAAGUUGUUGCUGUAGUUCUUGAUUUAAUUAUGUGUGAUUCUUUUAUUUGUGAGUAUCUUAUAAACCUAUGUCUACAAUUAUUGUAAUAGGUGUUUGAGUGUUGAAGUUUUGCUUUCUACUUUCUAGAUCAAGGAAGAGUCUUGAAAGGGAUUGUUUCAAUUGAUUUGAUUGUAAGUGAAAAGUACCAAGCAGUUUCUUUGAUUUUAGAGUUGUAUUCUAAAAUUAUUGAGGUUUUAAUGGAGACAAAAAUAGGUCUAAUUUCUAAGUAUCCUCAAGUAAGGUAAAUUUUUUUAUUGUGUAUAUUUUCGCGAUUUUACUUAUGGUUUGGUGACUUACGAGAACCUGAUUUUCUUUAGCUUAAUAGGUGAUAAUUAAAAUAAUAUCCUCAAUUUAAAAUUACAAGAAAAAAUUAUGUAAAAUUAGCCGCAAAGGAAUUACUACUGGUAGUAGGACAAAAGGCAGCAACCUGGAUAAUUCCCUAGUUGGUAAAAGGAAACAACCUUUUGCAAGUUGAUUGCCUUAUUGGAGUUGACGUUGUAUGCAAGUAUAGGUGACAAAUAGGUGAUGGGAUGGGACUCCACUCGAGUGAGUUUAUUUGUUAUUUAGAUUGAAAUGAUUAAAAUGCGGAUCAUAAUCAAUCUGAUCGACUCUUAUCAAGUUUCAAUUGGUUAAUUUGUUCUUUUAUCAUUUUGAGUACCUUAUUAUUAUUAUAUUUUUAUUAUAAUUAUAUAUUAUAUUUUUAAAAAUAUUUUGACUAAGCUAAUAAAUAAACAAAUUAAUAAUAAUAAACUCAAACUUGAAUAUAUUAAAAUUAAACUAUAAAUAUAUGGAUUAGUUUUGCCACAUCUAAGUACAAAUAAGAUGUGGACGUUACGUAUAUUAUUAUUUGUAUUAUCUCCUACAUUAUUAUUUUGUUAAAUAUUACCAAGCGUCAAUGCCAUUGAAAAGUACGUUUCGAAAGUAAACAAAAAAGCAAGUGAUUGGGUCCCUUUUGCCUUUGUGGUCAAUUCAUGUGCUAUGUUUUAUGUUUGCUAGCGGCUUCCUAAUUCCUAUACCUCAUUUUAAUGAGUUAAAAUUAUGUGCAAUGAUAAUUUAAGAUAUAUAUUUCUAAAUAAAUCAAUUAAAAUACUUUUAAAAAUAUAUAAAUAUAUCACUGAUUGAUAAACCCGUAAUAAAUAUAACUUAAAUCCUUAUUUGACAAUUAGUUAUGUAUGCACGUUUGUAGAAAGUUUAUGAUUAUUAACUAACAGGAUAAAAAAUAUUUAUGCAAUUAAAAUGUAAUUACAACUGAGCAUAAUAAUUAAAUAUUUGUUGAAAAUUAGAAGCUGGCUGGAAAUUGAAUCGUUGUUGGAAGACGUUGGACUCAUCCACCAUUGAAAAAGAGAGGUAACAAAAGGACCAAAAUAGCACAUAUCAUCACUUUGUUCCAACCAGCAAUCUUUAAGUAUAUUUUACUAUAUUAGACAAGCGUUUGCGAUGGAAAUUAAAUAUUUGUUGGUUUAUUUGAUAUUUUUAAAGUUGAAAUUGAAACUGUGCUUAUCCACACUUUCUGUAAAAAUAUUUAAAAUUUUAAUAUACUUUUCUUAAAUAUGAUUUGUAUCUUUUAAUUUCUAAAAAGUAGCGAAAUUAUCUAGCUUGACUGGUUUACCUGAAAAAUACAACCAACUCUAUUUAGAGGAAUAGUAUCUCAAAAUAAUGUCAUAAAUUAGAUCAUAUAUACGAGUUAUUACAUACGAAUUUUUUUGAAGUUGAAAUUAAAGAUCGAGUUGUAUUUAGUUAUAAUUUUGCUAAUGCUAUUUGAUCGCUUGAAUGUACUUUUCAUAAAAAGAACAUAAAAUAUGACUUAAACAUGAAAUAUAAUUUAUAAAGAAUUAUAUUUAUAAAAAUAAAAUUUUUAAGGAAUUUUAAAAAAAAAAUAUAUGGUGAAAUUUUCAAGUUGUAUUUGAAAUUUCAAUGGUUCACUUAUUAAAUUAUCUCAGAACUAUAAUUUUGAAACUAAAAUUCUUCGAUUAAUUUAUCUGAUAUUACAAUACCAAGUUAGAUGACAUAUGGUAAGGUGUUCAAGUUUAAGUUUGAAAUUAUAUUUAUACUUUCUUUCAUUGAAAGUUACAUUUAUAUUAUCAAUCAAUUCCUAAGGUUUGUUUGAUAGGAUGCAUUAGAAAAACAAUGCAUAUAUUAAAUUAAUUUUAUAUAUUAUUAAUACUCACUCUAUUGAUAUUAUGAUAUAUAUAAUUAAUUAAUGAUAAUUAUGAUGUUUGCAAUGCAAAAGUUUAAAUACACAUAAUUUUUACUCAAAUCUUUUUUUUACAUUCUUUUCGUUGUAUUUGUGGAAAAUAUUUUGUAAAUAAAUAACCCCCUCUACUCUUUUUUUUUAAAAAUGUUUUGUUUGUCUAAUUUUGGUAUGAUUCAUUUAAGAAAAUAAAAAAAAAUUGAAUAUUGUAAUGUUUAACUAAAGAUGUGUAAAAUAUUCUUCUAUCUUAUAUUUUAAUGUCAUUUAAAAAGUUAAAAUUAAAAAAUUCUCAAACAAAUAAUUUUUUUUUUAAAAAUAGCUAAAAAAAAAGAGCAACUUUCACAUAUAGCAAAUAAACCAUUAUACAAACAUAAAUUAUACAUUAUACAAACAUAAAUUAUACAUUAUACAAACAUAAAUUAUACAUUAUACAAACAUAAAUUAUACAUUAUACAAACAUAAAUUAUACAUUAUACAAACAUAAAUUAUACAUUAUACAAACAUAAAUUAUACAUUAUACAAACAUAAAUUAUACAUUAUACAAACAUAAAUUAUACAUUAUACAAACAUAAAUUAUACAUUAUACAAACAUAAAUUAUACAUUAUACAAACAUAAAUUAUACAUUAUACAAACAUAAAUUAUACAUUAUACAAACAUAAAUUAUACAUUAUACAAACAUAAAUUAUACAUUAUACAAACAUAAAUUAUACAUUAUACAAGCAUAAAACUGGGCAGGGGAAUAUUUUUAUUGUAUAAUUAUAAGUGUAUUUGCAUGUGUAUAUACAAUUUUCUUUCACUUUAUACAAACAUAAAUUUUACAUUAUAUUGUAUAAUCUGUGUUUGUAUAAAACGAGAAAGAGAGAAAGGCAAAAACGAACAGGGCAGGGCAAUAUUUUUAUUGUAUAAUUAUAAGUGUAUAGGACGAAUAUAUAUGUAUUUGCAUGUAUAUAUAUAAUUUUCUCUCGCUUUAUACAAACAGAAAUGCAAUUUAUACAAUUCUGUUGUAUAAAGCGAGAGAGGUGAGCACAGAGGGAGCGAGUGAGAAAGGGAGAGUGGCGACUGGCAAACAUUUGCUACAGAGCGCAAUUAAAUCAAACAGUAGCUGUUCCAUUUAUUUUAAAUUAUAAGUUUUGCCAUUCUAUACAAUUAUUCCAAAAAAUAAUAAUAAGACAAACAAAGUGAAACGAAAUAGGUAAUUUUUUAAUAAAAAUUAUAUACAUAUUAUUCUUAACAUAUCAAAUCAAACAACAUGUAAAAUAUAAUUUAACAUAAUUAACACCAACAUUACUAAUAUAACUCUUCAAUACUAUUCUUAUGCCUCUUGGGUCGCGACAAACGACCCCUUAUUUUAUUGUUUAGUGAAGCAAUAAACUAUGAGAGGGACUAGGAUUUUGUAUUAAAGCGCAGGAUGCUUCGUUUCUCCACCUGGGAAGGCUGGUAUGAAACCUCAUCUCUUCAUUUCUUCUCUUUAUAACUCAUCCUCCACACACUCUCUUUUCCACUCAAUUUUCUCUUCAACUUUGAAGUUAAACAUAUAUAUAGUUGACAUUAGUUACUUUCUCCAACUGAAAUUAUUUUCUUUGUUUGAUUAGAAGAAGAAAAAUGGGUUCAUCACCACAAGGAACUUGUAGCUCACUUGAUUCCAUUAGGGAACAUCUUCUUGAUGAUGAUGUUGCUUUCAUGGAAUAUUACUGCUCUAACACUUGUUUCUCUUUUGAAACUACUCAAACCUCAAAAACAGAGUUUGAUGGUUUUUUCGAAAUUGAGGCAAAACCACAUGUUAUCAGCUCAAAUUCUCCGAAGCAGAGUAACUUCAAAGAACGCAAGCCAUCUCUGAACGUUGCAAUACCCGCGAAGGCUGUUGUUGUAGAGAAAGUGGAAGUUGAGAGUGAGAAGAAGCAUUACAGGGGAGUUAGACAAAGGCCGUGGGGGAAGUUUGCGGCGGAGAUUCGUGACCCGAAUAGAAAGGGGACUCGGGUUUGGUUAGGAACAUUUGAUACUGCUGUGGAUGCGGCCAAGGCAUAUGACAGGGCAGCGUUUAAGCUUAGAGGCAGCAAAGCAAUAUUGAAUUUCCCACUUGAAGUUGCAAACUUUAAGCAACUCCAAAAUCAUGAUGAUGAUGUUGAGAUUAAAACAGAGAUGAAGUCAUCAGGCAGUAAAAGGGUGAGAGAAACAGAGGAUUUAGUAAUGAAGAAGGAAGUGAAAAUAGAAGAGGAAAGAGACGUUGU
rnacentral:lncRNA from 1 species